UGUGGCGCUAGCAAAAUCAGCUUUAACUUCAUAGACGGAUGUUUGAUCUAGCCACACUUGUCAUUGUUAAAUCAGACACAAUGAAAUCAGGAAGAGCGUUCCACCACCUAAUGGCAUCAGGAAGCGCCGACCACUUCAAUGCAUGAGUGUUCCCGUGGAUGCGCGUGAAGCCCACCGGCAAGAAAAUUCCAUUGCUCAUUGCGUUAUAGGCUCAGAAAACCAUUCAGCAUGGUUUCAGAGCUCUCUUGAGUGGACACUUUCCGGCGACGAUUUGCCUACUUUCACUUCCACCCUCACGAACAAUCCAAGGGAGCAGGUAAGCACAUCGUAGUGGCAUUACUGUUCCAUCGAAACAAACACACGCCAGAACGAGUAUCAAAAAUAAUGGACCCACAAGCUCAUGGUUCACAUAUCAGGUUCCAUGAACCCUUCUGGAGUGAAGAAAUAUCUAUCGUUAAGAAUUACAGAGAG